rnacentral:rRNA from 1 species
GAUGAGCCAGAUUUGGAAGUUUAGAUUAAAGCUUCAAAAUGAUUUUAACUGAAGAGUUUGAUCAUGGCUCAGAUUGAACGCUGGCGGCAGGCUUAACACAUGCAAGUCGAGCGGGCGAGGUUGCUUCGGUAACUGAGCUAGCGGCGGACGGGUGAGUAAUGCUUAGGAAUCUGCCUAUUAGUGGGGGACAACAUUCCGAAAGGGAUGCUAAUACCGCAUACGUCCUACGGGAGAAAGCAGGGGCUCUUUAUGACCUUGCGCUAAUAGAUGAGCCUAAGUCGGAUUAGCUAGUUGGUGGGGUAAAGGCCUACCAAGGCGACGAUCUGUAGCGGGUCUGAGAGGAUGAUCCGCCACACUGGGACUGAGACACGGCCCAGACUCCUACGGGAGGCAGCAGUGGGGAAUAUUGGACAAUGGGGGGAACCCUGAUCCAGCCAUGCCGCGUGUGUGAAGAAGGCCUUUUGGUUGUAAAGCACUUUAAGUGGGGAGGAGGCUUACCUGGUUAAUACCUGGGCUAAGUGGACGUUACCCACAGAAUAAGCACCGGCUAACUCUGUGCCAGCAGCCGCGGUAAUACAGAGGGUGCGAGCGUUAAUCGGAUUUACUGGGCGUAAAGCGCGCGUAGGUGGCUAAUUAAGUCAAAUGUGAAAUCCCCGAGCUUAACUUGGGAAUUGCAUUCGAUACUGGUUAGCUAGAGUAUGGGAGAGGAUGGUAGAAUUCCAGGUGUAGCGGUGAAAUGCGUAGAGAUCUGGAGGAAUACCGAUGGCGAAGGCAGCCAUCUGGCCUAAUACUGACACUGAGGUGCGAAAGCAUGGGGAGCAAACAGGAUUAGAUACCCUGGUAGUCCAUGCCGUAAACGAUGUCUACUAGCCGUUGGGGGAUUUGAUCCUUUAGUGGCGCAGCUAACGCGAUAAGUAGACCGCCUGGGGAGUACGGUCGCAAGACUAAAACUCAAAUGAAUUGACGGGGGCCCGCACAAGCGGUGGAGCAUGUGGUUUAAUUCGAUGCAACGCGAAGAACCUUACCUGGCCUUGACAUAGUAGA